GCAGUCGAGCGCUUCCCUUCGGGGAGGAGCGGCGGACGGGUUAGUAACGCGUGGGAACAUACCCUUUUCUAUGGAAUAGCCUUUGGAAACGAAGAGUAAUACCAUAUACGCCCUUCGGGGGAAAGAUUUAUCGGAGAAGGAUUGGCCCGCGUAAGAUUAGAUAGUUGGUGGGGUAAUGGCCUACCAAGUCUACGAUCUUUAGCUGGUUUUAGAGGAUGAUCAGCAACACUGGGACUGAGACACGGCCCAGACUCCUACGGGAGGCAGCAGUGGGGAAUCUUAGACAAUGGGCGCAAGCCUGAUCUAGCCAUGCCGCGUGUGUGAUGAAGGCCUUAGGGUCGUAAAGCACUUUCGCCAGAGAUGAUAAUGACAGUAUCUGGUAAAGAAACCCCGGCUAACUCCGUGCCAGCAGCCGCGGUAAUACGGAGGGGGUUAGCGUUGUUCGGAAUUACUGGGCGUAAAGCGCACGCAGGCGGUUUGUUAAGCUAGAUGUGAAAGCCCCGGGCUCAACCUGGGAAUAGCAUUUAGAACUGGCAGACUAGAGUCUUGGAGAGGUGAGUGGAAUUCCAAGUGUAGAGGUGAAAUUCGUAGAUAUUUGGAGGAACACCAGUGGCGAAGGCGG
rnacentral:rRNA from 1 species